rnacentral:rRNA from 1 species
AAGUUUAGUGGCGGACGGGUGGGUAACGCGUGAGCAACCUGCCUUUCAGAGGGGGAUAACAGUUGGAAACGACUGCUAAUACCGCAUGAUGUGUCGAGAUCGCAUGAUCUUGACACCAAGAUUUUUAUCGCUGAAAGAUGGGCUCGCGUACGAUUAGAUAGUUGGUGGGGUAACGGCCCACCAAGUCGACGAUUGGUAGCCGGACUGAGAGGUUUGAACGGCCACAUUGGGACUGAGACACGGCCCAGACUCCUACGGGAGGCAGCAGUGGGGAAUAUUGGGCAAUGGGGGAAACCCUGACCCAGCAACGCCGCGUGAAGGAAGAAGGCCUUCGGGUUGUAAACUUCUUUUAGCAGGGACGAAGAACGUGACGGUACCUGCAGAAAAAGCAACGGCUAACUACGUG